AGGUUAAGUUACAAAGGGCGCACGGUGGAUGCCUUGGCACUAGGAGCCGAUGAAGGACGGAACUAAUACCGAUAUGCUUCGGGGAGCUAUAAGUAAGCUUUGAUCCGGAGAUUUCCGAAUGGGGGAACCCAGUACACAUCAGUGUAUUGCCUGCAAGUGAAUACAUAGCUUGUUGGCGGCAGACGCGGGGAACUGAAACAUCUCAGUACCCGCAGGAAGAGAAAGAAAACUCGAUUCCCAUAGUAGCGGCGAGCGAAGUGGGAAGAGCCCAAACCGAGAAGCUUGCUUCUCGGGGUUGUAGGACUGGACAUUGGAGUUACCAAAGUUCGACGUAGUCGAAGUCAGCUGGAAAGCUGCGCCAUAGAAGGUGAAAGCCCUGUAAACGAAACGGCGGACUCUCCGUCCAGGAUCCUGAGUACGGCGGAACACGUGAAAUUCCGUCGGAAUCCGGGAGGACCAUCUCCCAAGGCUAAAUACUCCCUAGUGACCGAUAGUGAACCAGUACCGUGAGGGAAAGGUGAAAAGCACCCCGGAAGGGGAGUGAAACAGUUCCUGAAACCGUGUGCCUACAAUUAGUCAAAGCCCGUUAACGGGUAAUGGCGUGCCUUUUGUAGAAUGAACCGGCGAGUUACGUUUGCCUGCGAGGUUAAGAUGAAAAGUCGGAGCCGGAGCGAAAGCGAGUCUGAACAGGGCGCUUCAGUAGGUAGAUGUAGACCCGAAACCAAGUGACCUACCCAUGACCAGGUUGAAGGUGUGGUGAAACACACUGGAGGACCGAACCCAUGUAUGUUGAAAAAUGCUGGGAUGAGUUGUGGGUAGCGGUGAAAUUCCAAACGAACUUGGAGAUAGCUGGUUCUCUCCGAAAUAGCUUUAGGGUUAGCCUCGGAGGAUGGAUCAUGGAGGUAGAGCACUGUUUGAACUAGGGGCCCGUCAAGGGUUACUGAAUUCAGAUAAACUCCGAAUACCAUUGAUCUUACUCCGGGAGUCAGACAGUGAGCGAUAAGGUCCAUUGUCGAAAGGGGAACAGCCCAGAUCACCAGUUAAGGUCCCUAAAUUUAUGCUAAGUGGAAAAGGAUGUGGCGUUGCACAGACAACUAGGAUGUUGGCUCAGAAGCAGCCACCAUUUAAAGAGUGCGUAAUAGCUCACUAGUCGAGUGGCACUGCGCCGAAAAUAUACCGGGGCUAAGCAUAAUACCGAAACUGUGGGUGCACCCGUCAGGGUGCGCGGUAGGAGAGCGUUCUAAGGGCGUUGAAGGUCGAUCGUGAGGACGGCUGGAGCGCUUAGAAGUGAGAAUGCCGGCAUGAGUAGCGAAAGAUCAGUGAGAAUCUGAUCCACCGUAUGACUAAGGUUUCCUGGGGAAGGCUCGUCCUCCCAGGGUUAGUCGGGAUCUAAGGCGAGGCCGCAAGGCGUAGUCGAUGACAAGCAGGUUGAGAUUCCUGCACUAGUUUAUUUUGUUUAAGCGAUGGAGGGACGCAGGAGGCUAAGGAAAGCGCACGGCUGGAAAAGUGCGUCCAAGCAGUAAGUCCGGUAGCGAGUGAAAUGCUUGCCGCCUUAAGGACAAGCUGUGAUGGGGAGCGAAAUUAAAGUAGCGAAGUUCCUGAUGUCACACUGCCAAGAAAAGCUUCUAGUGAGAAAUAAACUACCCGUACCGCAAACCGACACAGGUAGUCGAGGAGAGUAUCCUCAGGUGAGCGAGCGAACUCUCGUUAAGGAACUCGGCAAAAUGACCCCGUAACUUCGGAAGAAGGGGUGCUGACCGCAAGGUCAGCCGCAGUGAAUAGGCCCAAACAACUGUUUAUCAAAAACACAGGUCUCUGCUAAAUCGUAAGAUGAUGUAUAGGGGCUGACGCCUGCCCGGUGCUGGAAGGUUAAGAGGAUGAGUUAGCGCAAGCGAAGCCCAGAAUUGAAGCCCCAGUAAACGGCGGCCGUAACUAUAACGGUCCUAAGGUAGCGAAAUUCCUUGUCGGGUAAGUUCCGACCCGCACGAAAGGCGUAAUGAUUUGGGCACUGUCUCAACGAGAGACUCGGUGAAAUUAUAGUACCCGUGAAGAUGCGGGUUACCCGCGACAGGACGGAAAGACCCCAUGGAGCUUUACUGUAGCUUGAUAUUGAGUGUUGGUACCGCUUGUACAGGAUAGGUAGGAGCCGUAGAGAUCGGAACGCUAGUUUCGAUGGAGGCAUUGGUGGGAUACUACCCUAGCUGUAUGAACACUCUAACCCGCGCCACUAAUCGUGGCGGGAGACAGUGUCAGGUAGGCAGUUUGACUGGGGCGGUCGCCUCCUAAAAUGUAACGGAGGCGCCCAAAGGUUCCCUCAGAAUGGUUGGAAAUCAUUCGCAGAGUGUAAAGGUAGAA
rnacentral:rRNA from 2 species